rnacentral:rRNA from 1 species
AGGACGAACGCUGGCGGCGUGCUUAACACAUGCAAGUCGAGCGGAAAGGCCCUUCGGGGUACUCGAGCGGCGAACGGGUGAGUAACACGUGAGUAAUCUGCCCCUAGCUCUGGGAUAGCUCCGGGAAGCCGGGAUUAAUACCAGAUACGACCACUUUAGACAUCUUCUGUGGUGGAAAGAACUUCGGCUAGGGAUGAACUCGCGGCCUAUCAGCUUGUUGGUGAGGUAACGGCUCACCAAGGCGACGACGGGUAGCCGGCCUGAGAGGGCGAUCGGCCACACUGGGACUGAGACACGGCCCAGACUCCUACGGGAGGCAGCAGUGGGGAAUAUUGCGCAAUGGGCGAAAGCCUGACGCAGCGACGCCGCGUGAGGGAUGAAGGCCUUCGGGUUGUAAACCUCUUUCAGCAGGGACGAAGCGAAAGUGACGGUACCUGCAGAAGAAGCACCGGCCAACUACGUGCCAGCAGCCGCGGUAA